GACCAUGUAAGCAGAUCACAGAAGCUAUUCACAGAUCAUCAUCAGCCAGAGGGAAAUGAAAUAAUAACGCUGACCAUUUGUGGAGCACAUUCUGUCUGGAGGCAAAGGAUGCCAAGAUGGGAAAGCCACAUAAUGGAAGGAUCCUGGAUUUCAGAGCUGUCACUUGGAGGAGGGGCACCCAGUGAAGAGUGGCCAUAUGGAUUUGAUCCCUAUCCUUCAGAGGUGCUCAGCCUAAGGGAACACGGAUAGUAGAUUAAGCACUGACCAGAUAUAUAGAAGCACUUAGGAACUUUGUUCUACUAUUCUGCACUGAAGGAACUUUCAGAACUUUCCAGUGCUUCAGGUUGGGGUCCGGCUCAAGUUUGUACAUUCCAACUUGUUGUUUGGGCCUUGUUGGACAUAACUGAAGUCUGGAUGGCAGGGUGAAAAUUGGAUAAACAGCCACACUGACUCAGGGGAGAUUUUUUUUUAAUGCAAACAUCUGUUUCUUGAAUUUGGCCAUGGGGUAUAAAUCCUGCCUUCUCUCAGCCUUACAGAGGAAGAAAACCCUUUCCAAGUUUCCUCUGAUACUGGGUUUAUGCCCAAUUAUAGUUUAGGCAUGAAGAAACUGAAGCAUGGAGGAAAAACUUAGCAACUAGCCCAACGUCACACAGGCAAGCCAGCCUUGACAAUGUGCUGAUGGCAACCU
rnacentral:lncRNA from 1 species